GGAAAUGUGCCUGAAUGCCAAAGGGCCACUUUGAUAGAGUGGAUAAUAAGGGUUAAAAUCCCUUUAUUUCCU
rnacentral:tRNA from 1 species